GUGAGUAUAGCUCAGUGGUAGAGCACAUGCUUAGCACGCAUGAGGUCCUGGGUUCAAUCCCCAGUACCUUCA
rnacentral:tRNA from 1 species